rnacentral:rRNA from 1 species
GGCGCUAAUGCCGGAUACGCCCGCGAGGAGGCAUCUUCUUGCGGGGAAAGGCCCGAUUGGGCCGCUGAGAGAGGAGCCCGCGGCGCAUUAGCUCGUUGGUGGGGUAACGGCCCACCAAGGCGACGAUGCGUAGCCGACCUGAGAGGGUGACCGCCCACACUGGGACUGAGACACGGCCCAGACUCCUACGGGAGGCAGCAGUAGGGAAUCUUCCGCAAUGGGUGCAAGCCUGACGGAGCAACGCCGCGUGAGCGAAGAAGGCCUUCGGGUUGUAAAGCUCUGUUGCUCGGGGAGAGCGGCAUGGGGAGUGGAAAGCCCCAUGCGAGACGGUACCGAGUGAGGAAGCCCCGGCUAACUACGUGCCAGCAGCCGCGGUAAAACGUAGGGGGCGAGCGUUGUCCGGAAUCACUUGGNGUAAAGGGUCCGUAGGCGGUCGAGCAAGUCU